rnacentral:rRNA from 1 species
AACGAACGUUAGCGGCGCGCUUAACACAUGCAAGUCGAGCGAGAAAGGGGCAACCCCGGUAAAGCGGCGCACGGGUGAGUAACACGUAGGUAAUCUACCCUCGGGUGGAGGAUAACUUUCCGAAAGGAAGGCUAAUACUGCAUGAGACCACGGCCUCGAAAGGGGCAGGGGUCAAAGCCGGCCUCUGUACACAAGCUGGCGCCUGAGGAUGAGCCUGCGGCCCAUCAGCUAGUUGGUAGGGUAAUGGCCUACCAAGGCGAAGACGGGUAGCUGGUCUGAGAGGAUGAUCAGCCACACUGGAACUGAGACACGGUCCAGACUCCUACGGGAGGCAGCAGUGGGGAAUCUUGCGCAAUGGGCGAAAGCCUGACGCAGCGACGCCGCGUGAGUGAUGAAGGCCUCGGUUGUAAGACUCUGUGGAGAGGGACGAAGUAAAGUGUUGGCGUAACAUCCAGCAUGAUGACGGUACCGUCUUUAGUCAAGCACCGGCU